UAGCUUGCUACCUGACCUAGCGGCGGACGGGUAAGUAAUGCUUAGGAAUCUGCCUAUUAGUGGGGGACAACAUUCCGAAAGGAAUGCUAAUACCGCAUACGCCCUACGGGGGAAAGCAGGGGAUCUUCGGACCUUGCGCUAAUAGAUGAGCCUAAGUCAGAUUAGCUAGUUGGUGGGGUAAAGGCCUACCAAGGCGACGAUCUGUAGCGGGUCUGAGAGGAUGAUCCGCCACACUGGGACUGAGACACGGCCCAGACUCCUACGGGAGGCAGCAGUGGGGAAUAUUGGACAAUGGGCGAAAGCCUGAUCCAGCCAUGCCGCGUGUGUGAAGAAGGCCUUUUGGUUGUAAAGCACUUUAAGCGAGGAGGAGGCUACUGAGAUUAAUACUCUUGGAUAGUGGACGUUACUCGCAGAAUAAGCACCGGCUAACUCUGUGCCAGCAGCCGCGGUAAUACAGAGGGUGCGAGCGUUAAUCGGAUUUACUGGGCGUAAAGCGUGCGUAGGCGGCUUUUUAAGUCGGAUGUGAAAUCCCUGAGCUUAACUUAGGAAUUGCAUUCGAUACUGGGAAGCUAGAGUAUGGGAGAGGAUGGUAGAAUUCCAGGUGUAGCGGUGAAAUGCGUAGAGAUCUGGAGGAAUACCGAUGGCGAAGGCAGCCAUCUGGCCUAAUACUGACGCUGAGGUACGAAAGCAUGGGGAGCAAACAGGAUUAGAUACCCUGGUAGUCCAUGCCGUAAACGAUGUCUACUAGCCGUUGGGGCCUUUGAGGCUUUAGUGGCGCAGCUAACGCGAUAAGUAGACCGCCUGGGGAGUACGGUCGCAAGACUAAAACUCAAAUGAAUUGACGGGGGCCCGCACAAGCGGUGGAGCAUGUGGUUUAAUUCGAUGCAACGCGAAGAACCUUACCUGGUCUUGACAUAGUAAGAACUUUCCAGAGAUGGAUUGGUGCCUUCGGGAACUUACAUACAGGUGCUGCAUGGCUGUCGUCAGCUCGUGUCGUGAGAUGUUGGGUUAAGUCCCGCAACGAGCGCAACCCUUUUCCUUAUUUGCCAGCGGGUUAAGCCGGGAACUUUAAGGAUACUGCCAGUGACAAACUGGAGGAAGGCGGGGACGACGUCAAGUCAUCAUGGCCCUUACGACCAGGGCUACACACGUGCUACAAUGGUCGGUACAAAGGGUUGCUACCUAGCGAUAGGAUGCUAAUCUCAAAAAGCCGAUCGUAGUCCGGAUUGGAGUCUGCAACUCGACUCCAUGAA
rnacentral:rRNA from 1 species